CUCGGUGGUUUGAGCGAAGUGGUCCGACCUGAUCCCAUCCCGAACUCAGUCGUCAAACACUUCAGCGGGGACGAUAAUGCAUCCGCAAGGUUGUGUGAAAAUACCUCACUGCCGGAC
rfam:Candidatus Daviesbacteria bacterium RIFCSPHIGHO2_02_FTLL_36_13 rifcsphigho2_02_scaffold_21335, whole genome shotgun sequence.